rnacentral:rRNA from 1 species
GACGAACGCUGGCGGCGUGCCUAAUACAUGCAAGUCGAGCGAAGUUUUUCUGGUGCUUGCACUAGAAAAACUUAGCGGCGAACGGGUGAGUAACACGUAAAGAACCUGCCUCAUAGACUGGGACAACUAUUGGAAACGAUAGCUAAUACCGGAUAACAGCAUUAACUGCAUGGUUGAUGUUUGAAAGUUGGUUAUGCUAACACUAUGAGAUGGCUUUGCGGUGCAUUAGCUAGUUGGUGGGGUAAAGGCCCACCAAGGCGACGAUGCAUAGCCGACCUGAGAGGGUGAUCGGCCACACUGGGACUGAGACACGGCCCAGACUCCUACGGGAGGCAGCAGUAGGGAAUCUUCCGCAAUGGGCGAAAGCCUGACGGAGCAACGCCGCGUGAGUGAAGAAGGAUUUCGGUUCGUAAAGCUCUGUUGUUAGGGAAGAAUGGAUAUGUAGUAACUAUACAU